AUUGAACGCUGGCGGAAUGCUUUACACAUGCAAGUCGAACGGCAGCACGGGAGCUUGCUCCUGGUGGCGAGUGGCGAACGGGUGAGUAAUGCGUCGGAACGUACCGAGUAAUGGGGGAUAACGCGGCGAAAGUCGCGCUAAUACCGCAUACGCCCUGAGGGGGAAAGUGGGGGAUCGCAAGACCUCACGUUAUUCGAGCGGCCGACGUCUGAUUAGCUUGUUGGUGAGGUAAUGGCUCACCAAGGCGACGAUCAGUAGCGGGUCUGAGAGGAUGAUCCGUCACACUGGAACUGAGACACGGUCCAGACUCCUACGGGAGGCAGCAGUGGGGAAUUUUGGACAAUGGGGGCAACCCUGAUCCAGCCAUUCCGCGUGAGUGAAGAAGGCCUUCGGGUUGUAAAGCUCUUUCAGCUGGAACGAAACGGUAUUUCUUAAUACGGGAUGCUAAUGACGGUACCAGC
rnacentral:rRNA from 1 species